rnacentral:rRNA from 1 species
GACGAACGCUGGCGGCGUGCUUAACACAUGCAAGUCGAGCGGAAAGGCCCUUCGGGGUACUCGAGCGGCGAACGGGUGAGUAACACGUGAGUAAUCUGCCCUUGGCUUUGGGAUAACUACCGGAAACGGUGGCUAAUACCGGAUACGACAACCGUCUGCAUGGGCUGGUUGUGGAAAGUUUUUUCGGCCAGGGAUGUGCUCGCGGCCUAUCAGCUUGUUGGUGGGGUAAUGGCCUACCAAGGCUUCGACGGGUAGCCGGCCUGAGAAGGUGACCGGCCACACUGGGACUGAGACACGGCCCAGACUCCUACGGGAGGCAGCAGUGGGGAAUAUUGGACAAUGGGCGGAAGCCUGAUCCAGCAACGCCGCGUGAGGGAUGACGGCCGUCGGGUUGUAAACCUCUUUCAGUACCGACGAAGCGCCGAUGAUGGUGGUGACGGUAGGUACAGAAGAAGCACCGGCCAACUACGUG